CCCCUUUGCUUUUCGUAACCGCCUCUAUUUGUUCCAGACUUCUGGUCUCUCGCUCGAGCGAGAGAGUAAAUUUCAGCAUUACAAAAUCUUCUCGCUUGAGCGACAGAUCUCUCGCUCAAGCAUUUCGACGCCUGAACACCUCGCCCAGGCGAGGGAGAAACAGUAAGCAUGUAUUUUUUUUGUCUUGAAAUAGCGCCCGAGCGAGGGGUACGAGUGUUUUCUAGUGAUUUUCCUCUGAAUUAUGGCUUGAGCGACCAUUACCUCGCUUGGGCGAGGCUAGUGUUGUCAAAAACAUAUUCUUCUCUAUUUUUCCUCCUUUUUUCAUCAUUUCUUACCUGCAAACGACAACAAUUACUUAAAUUCAUAAAAAAUACAAGAUUGCUAGAUUAUUGGGAAUUAUAUGCAAUUAUAUCAUAAAUCCACACAAAGUGACCUAAAAUCAUACAUAUUUCAUUAACAUUUUGGCACUUAACAAUAACUUCUAUUUUUAAUAUAUUUAAUCAUCAACCUUACCAUUACAUACGAUACUAAAGAUAGAACAAAAUAGAAAUUAGGAGCACAAAAUACAUGUUAAUAUAGAUAGAAAUGUGGGUUGACACGCACCAUUUGUGUCGAUAAAUACGCUAGUAUAUAUAUAUAUAUAUUUUUCUUCUCUUUUGUUGUUACUAGUAACAAAAGAUACAUCAAAUAAAGGCUUGGAUCCUCUCCUAUAAUGGAGAAGCGAGUACCAAUAUAAGAUUGUGAUACAUGUCAAAUUUAUAAUUAAGGGUCGAGUUCUUCUUCCUUUAGCCGAGUUCUUUCUCCUCCACUAACCUCUUAUUGAUGCUGUCACAUAAGACCAAGCUUCUUAGCCUUCUUCACCGCUACUUUUUCCACCGAAGACUUUACACUUUUAGUCUUCUUCACACUCUUCUGCGAUGCCUUCUUCGUUGGCUUAGCAUCCAUCUUCUUCUUCACCGGCGAUUUCACAAUCUUUGCUUUCGGCUUGGCACCACCGGAU
rnacentral:lncRNA from 1 species